CAUUCCUGUUGUGGCAGCUUGCUGGGCUCCCCCUGAAGCAGCCCCUUCUCUGUCCCCCCAACCCUUUCCGACAGCACAGCCCCUAGGCCCUGGGAAGUGCCCACAGGGCACCCUCAGCCCUGCCCCCUGCUCUGCCCGCCGCCUGCCUCCCAUAGUACCAAGGAGCUUGGUCUCUUCCUCCCCCGGGGGCUCUGGGUGGAUGCUGUCAUUCUUCCUUAGACAGAUUUGUAGAAUCAGGGAUUUUUGGAGCUGAGACCCAGCUCCUUAUUUUUCAAUGGGUCUUUAACACAGUUGAGAGGUCAUUCCGGACUCCUGACGCCGCCAGUCCCUUGGUGAGACGUGAGCGCCAUUGGCGUCCGUGGCCUCUGUUUCCGUGGCAACCCAGUAACCAUUAAUUUUCAAUUAAAGGAGACAAAAAGCUCGAUGACAGCUCCAGGUCUGCUGAAGAUGUCAAGAAUCUGUAUUAAUAUACAGCAAGAGAGCAUAAUUGUGUGUCCAUCUUCCAGAGCAGCGAAAAAUGGAGGGAUAAUUACCAGCUCGAAAGCCACUCUGUAAUUUAGUUCUUACUGUCACCACAGCCCUACACAUUAGCAUAAAUUAAAAGCA